AUACUUACCUGGACGGAGUCAAUGAGCGAUCAUCAAGGCUCAUGGCUUAGGCUAGUGACCUCCAUUGCACUUUGGAAGGGCAUUAGGCUAAGGUCUACCUAAUAGGUGGAGCCUACGUCAUAAUUUGUGGUAGUGGGGGUUUGCGUUCGCGCAGCCCCUAU
rfam:Ipomoea nil DNA, scaffold: scaffold1869, cultivar: Tokyo-kokei standard.